GACGAACGCUGGCGGCGUGCUUAACACAUGCAAGUCGAACGGAAAGGCCCUGCUUUUGUGGGGUGCUCGAGUGGCGAACGGGUGAGUAACACGUGAGUAACCUGCCCUUGACUUUGGGAUAACUUCAGGAAACUGGGGCUAAUACCGGAUAGGAGCUCCUGCUGCAUGGUGGGGGUUGGAAAGUUUCGGCGGUUGGGGAUGGACUCGCGGCUUAUCAGCUUGUUGGUGGGGUAGUGGCUUACCAAGGCUUUGACGGGUAGCCGGCCUGAGAGGGUGACCGGCCUCCCUGGGCCUGAGGUACGGCCCAGACUCCUACGUGAGGCAGCAGUCGGGAAUAUGGCCCAGUGGGCGGACGCCUGAUGCAGCAACGCCGCGUGCGGGAUGCCGGCCUUCGGGUUGUAAACCGCUUUCGCCUGUGACGAAGCGUGAGUGACGGUAAUGGGUAAAGAAGCACCGGCUAACUACGUG
rnacentral:rRNA from 1 species